ensembl:lncRNA
GCCAGGGUGAAGGCAAGGGUGAAGGCAAGGGCAAGGGUCAUGGCAAGGGUCAGGGUCAUGGUCACGGACACGGUCACGGACCUGGAAAGGAUGGAAAGGAUGGCAAAGGCAAACCAUAAUGAAAGGAGCUGAAUGAAGAGACGUCUGAAGUCUGUCUGAUGCUGUUGUUUUUUUUCUUGCACCAUGACUAAUAAACUAAAACAUGUAUAAUUAUACCACAUAUGUUUGUUUUUAAUUAAAUGAUCAUCAAUAAAGUGUUUGGUAUCAAAGAAUGGCUUUUAGAAUCGUUGACUCCUUAAGCUUUGAAAUUCCAAAUAUAAAACGAAAUGAAGUAGCUGUGGCAAGGUG